AAAAAAUUGAGAAAUGUUCUUUGAAACACAAAAUCCUUUCUUUGGAACACAAAAUCUGUUUUUUUUUUUUUUUCUUUAUGACUCAAAACUCAAACAAAAAACAACUUUAUGACUCAAAACUCAAAUAAAAACAACAAAACUCCACACCCCAAAACCUAAACUAAGCAUUGUCCUCAAUGUUUAAAGUAAAUGCAUGUAACAAUUAGUAAAGGC
rnacentral:lncRNA from 1 species